CUGCCCAGGCUGCACCCGGAGACACAAUCCGCAGCCCCUGGGUCUGUGCAGUGACCAGCCAGUCCCUGAGAACGUUCCCCUCCAGCACCCGGGAAAAUGGGAUUUUUGAUUCUUGUAAUUUUCGCUCUAGGAGCUUUGGAAGGUGUCCGGUCCCAGGUGCAGCUGGUGGAGUCCGGAGGGGAUGUGAAAAAGCCCGGAGACUCUCUCCGCCUCUCCUGCAAAGCCUCCGGGUUCACCUUCGGUGACUACUUCAUGAGCUGGGUCCGACAGGCUCCUGGCAAGGGACUAGAAUGGGUCGCUUUUAUAAACCUCGGUGGGGGUGCAGACUACCCUGAUUCAGUGAAAGGCCGAUUCACCAUCUCCAGGGAUGAUCCCAAGAGUGAGGUGUAUCUGCAAAUGACCGGCCUGAAGCCCGAGGACACCGCCCGCUAUUACUGCGCGAGAGACACACAGUGA